UGAACGCUGGCGGCAUGCCUAACACAUGCAAGUCGAACGCGAAAGUCACUUCGGUGGCGAGUAGAGUGGCGGACGGGUGAGUAACGCGUGGGAAUCUGCCUCGUAGUGGGGGACAACCCGGGGAAACCCGGGCUAAUACCGCAUACGUCUUACGAGAGAAAGGGGGCCUCUGCUUGCAAGCUCUCGCUAUGAGAUGAGCCCGCGUCGGAUUAGCUAGUUGGUGGGGUAAAGGCUCACCAAGGCGACGAUCCGUAGCUGGUCUGAGAGGAUGAUCAGCCACACUGGGACUGAGACACGGCCCAGACUCCUACGGGAGGCAGCAGUGGGGAAUAUUGGACAAUGGGCGCAAGCCUGAUCCAGCAAUGCCGCGUGUGUGAAGAAGGCCUGCGGGUUGUAAAGCACUUUCAGUCGGGAAGAAAAGCCUGUAGUGAAUAACUGCGGGUCUUGACGUUACCGACAGAAGAAGCACCGGCUAACUCC
rnacentral:rRNA from 1 species